rnacentral:lncRNA from 10 species
CGUGCAGACGCAGCCUGCUCCUCUUCGCUCACCCUGCCCCUUCCCCAUCUCCCGCCUUCCCAGGGAUCCCUGGCACUUCCCUGGGCCACAGGGACGGGGGCGUCUCUGCUGCAGGAGAGGGGGAGGUAAGCAUCAGCGUCGGUCCUGGCUGUGCCACCAGUUCUGGGACUAUUGAUCAGCAAGGAAGUGUUGUUGAUUCUUCAGUGUGAAUGGGGAUACACAGAGAGCCAAAAUGUCAUGUUCAUCCUCGAAGUCUAGUCUAUGCUUCAAAGUCACUCUCUAAAUCUGCAGCAUUUUCUUGAGGAAAGAAAGAAAAAGAGAAAAAGAAAGAAAGAGAGAGAAAGAAAAGAGAGAGAGGGAGAGGAGAAGAAAAGAAAAGAAUAAUUGGGCAGCACCAAGGGCAGCAACGAGAAGAAAAGAAAAAAAGAAAAGAACAGAAAGAAAAUAAAAGAAUAACUCGGCACCACCAAUGGCCCCAAGGCCGCAACGCAGAGGCUUUAGGGUUUAGUCAGCACCAGGGACAGCGACAGCAGUUGGGGCCCCCGUUUUGGCUACUGCUAGGGGCUUUGGGAACCACACAAGAGCUGGGGAAAGUAGGAUAGGUGGUGAAACAACUGGCCAGCCUCCCGUUAGUUGAAUUAAGUGUCUACUCGAGAGAGAGAGAGAGAGAGACAACGCGCACCUGAAGAUCGGAGCAUUUACUGAACACCUGAUUCCAUUAACUGCUGACUCAAUAAUCAGUGUGCGGAGCUGUACCCCAAAACCUCUCGCUGCCACUGCCAAUCUCCAUAUUCUGUGCUGCUACAAAGAUUCCAAUUUCAUGAAAUGAGACAAUAUGCCCUGCCCAGGGGAUGAAUUGUGACUGGUCUAGGGAAAUCACAGCAAUCCUCUUCUUAGCUUGGACAUUCACUCUAGGUUUCUACCUUCCUUUGCAACUGGGAUUGGCAUCUGGCCAAUGAGAUGUUAAGAGUUAAUCUUGAGCUUCAGGAAAAUUGCCAGUCUACAUUUCCUUGCCCCCUUCCCCCGAACCCAAGUCUGUUAUAUUGCCAAUGUCACCUUCUCUUAAAAUGGAAAUAGCCUGAAUUUGGGAUUUUAAACAUGCACGGGUGUGAAUCUUAAUUUUGUUCCUGAGGAUUCCAGGGCAAAUUACUUAUCUCUGUGCAGUCUCAAGUUUUGUUACUUGUAAAACAGGCUAAGUAUCUCUCACAGAACAAUGAAAUGAGACAUGAAUGGGACAAUGAAGAGGCGUAAAUUCUUGGGGCCCUUUCAGGGUCAACAAAUGGGAUUCCUUAUCUAAUUAAAAUUAAUAAACCACAUUCCUGCAAAGUCAAUACACUCUCACUGUGGUG